UUCUUUCCCGGCCGGUCCUCUACUCUGCCAGAGCGGGGCUCGGCGGGGAGGACGCUGCUACACGCCCGCCUUCUGCGGCCGGAGCCGCUUAGCGCGAGGCUGCGGCAGCACGAGGCUACUUUUCCUGGCAACGAUCCAGGAAAAGCCCGGUUUAACCGCCGGCCGCUCGGCCAUUGCACGGGUCUCCGAGCCGCGGGACAACGAAAGGGGACGGAAGCUGAAUUAAGCUCUCCCCGGAGGGGAGAGCGCUCCAGGGAGAGGCGGGGAGGGAAGGAGGAGUGUCGCGAAGUUUAAGGCCAGCGGUAGAUUAUCCGGGUCAUUUUGCGUCCAGGGGCUACGAAAUGCGCGAAGAAGACAAGGGCAGGAUUGGUGGUGGUGGUGGCGGCAGCGGUACGGGCCUGGCCAGCGCCGCGGCUCGGGGGCAAGUGGAGGCCGUGCGGCAACUCCUAGAAGCCGGCGCGGAUCCAAACGGAGUCAAUCGCUUCGGGAGGCGCCCGAUCCAGGUCAUGAUGAUGGGCAGCGCCCGCGUAGCCGAGCUGCUGCUGCUUCAUGGCGCGGACCCCAACUGCACCGACCCCGCCACCCUCACCCGACCCGUGCACGACGCCGCCCGGGAGGGCUUCCUGGACACGCUGGUGGCGCUGCACCGAGCUGGGGCGCGGCUAGACGUGCGUGACGCCUGGGGCCGCCUGCCCGCGGACCUGGCUGAGGAGCGGGGCCACCGCGACGUCGCACUGUACCUGCGCGCGGCCGCAGGAGACUGAUGGAAGAUGCCCCCUGCCGCCCACAACGUUUCUCUCUCCAGUUCCCACGCCCAACUUUAAAUGAAGGCUACAGAUGUGGAGCGGCGGAAAGCCUUAUUGCCUUCCUGCGUGACCAGGCUCCUCGCGGGGAAGAAGGGGUAGACUGGGAAUAAAUUAUUUUAGGUUGUUCUUCCCCUGGAUCCCGCCCUCGCCACUCACCUUGAAGCAAAACAGAGGUGGGGCAAAUGGAUUUCCCGAGAGACUUAGGAGCGGAAUACUAAGUUCCCGGGUGUCGUUUUUUGUUUUUGUUUUUUUUUUUCCCAGGAUUUUCUCCGAAAAGCGGCAUGUGAAGAAGUCCUGAAUGACCCCGGGUGCCUGCAAAUUUUCACCCAAAAGAUGCUGGGGGCGGGGUGGGAGGCGGCGGUGAGUGGGAUUCGGGCACGCUCGCCCCACUCGCCUUGAAGGAGCCCUGUGAGCCUCCGCUUCUGGCGCUGGCGGCUGUGAGGGAAAACCUGAGCUUUGGGGUCCAGACGAGGACAGCGGACAGAUCCGUCAGUAGGCGCCCAACGCUUUACACGCAGUGCAUCACAGGCAAAUGAUACUCACUGGAAGCCCGGAGACUCGCGCCCAACUCCACUGGAUAGUGACGGGGAAGAAAAGCCACAGGAGCCACUGCGAAUUCGCGCGCGUUUUAAAAUCCCUGGGUCAAGGUGACGCACAACGGCUCUCAGAAAGGGGCUGGCGCUUGCUGUUCGCAAUUCUGUCCAGGAAGAAUAAAUCCCAAGGAAGAAACAGAAAUUAGGACUUGACUGGAAAUUGGAAGACCUGGGUUCCAGUAAUGGUUCUUCAACUAAUUCAAUAUAUAUGACCUACUAAGUCAUGUACUUUGAUUAGCCUCAAUUUUCCUCAUCUUUAAAAGCUGGAAAUUGAGACUCCUUGAGAAUUCCACUUUCUUCUGCACCAGAUACUAAGUGCUGAGCUGUGGGAAACAGAGUGAGAAUCAGAACCAGUGGUGAGUUUCUGCUGUUUGGGUGGCUUUCAAUAUAAUCUCAAACCAAAUAUGUAAGGAUUAUCCACUGUUCUUCAAACUUCAUUCAUUUCAUAGUAUAAAUAAUUACAUUUUGUUUUCCUUAUCAGAUUAAGCUGUAAAUAAUUUCAGCAUAUAUUAUUGUAUAUUUUAUAGUAUGUUUAUAAGAGAUAACAUAUAUACAUAAAACAGUAAGCAAUUUAUUCUCUUUGAAAACCUAUAGAUAGGUCAGUAGAUCUACUUACAUAUAUGUGUGUAUAUGUAUGUCUAUGUAAGCCCAAGUUUUCUUCUGAAGGGUGAGUGUUGGAAAUAUACCAUAUGGUUCUUCAUCCCAUCUGUGAGUUGCUAAGCCCAACUACCUUCCCAAGGGCACAAUACCCUUUACAGUACCACAGUACCCUGUAUCCCCUCCCAACAUGCCACCUAGAGUUAGAAACUAUAACCUUACCUAAAGUAUUUUGUAACUCUCUACUACUAUAUCUCUGAGCUGCUUUUGAUAGGGUUAUCACAUAUAGGUCUAUUUCAGGAUUUUAGGAGUCUUUUGAUGUGUUUAUAUCCCAUCAUAAACAGAAGAACUUAGUGUCGGCCCCUUUCUAGGGAAAAAUUUAAAGACAUUCAUUUUACAUUCACUCCCUGGUAUUUAUUAUAUAUAUAUACAUGAUGGUGUUGUCCCCACCAGUCACUUGAGAUCAACAGAGAGGGACGUGGUCCUCAACCCUGGCUCCUUAUAAGAAUCACCGAUGGAGAUGUUCUAAAAUUUAGAUUUACUGACCAACUUCAGGGUCUACAGAAUUAGAAUCUCUAGGUUUGGAGCCCUAGAUUUCUGUGGCAGUUACUUUAAAAUUCUUGUUCAUAGUAAAUUGUCAAACAGUACAAAAAACAAAUAGAAUUAAAUAAAAAUCUGAAACAUUUCUACCCAACAUUCUCACUACCCAGGGAAGACAUAUUUUUUUAAUAACCUCCCAGAGAUAAACAUCUCUCCCCCAAUACACAAAUCUGGAAAACAUAAAUGGGAUCAUACUGUUUACAACUUGUUUUCUUUAAUUAAUAAUAUAUCUUUGACAACUUCCAUUAUCAGGACAUGCAGAUACACUUCAUUUUUUUAUAUGGCUGCAUAUAUAUAUAUUUUUGUAUUUUAUGGAUGACUCUUAAUUUUUUAAAACCCAGUCUCCCUGACAAACAUGUAAAUGUUUUCCUUUUUCCUUUCUUGUUUUUUAUUUUGCUACUACAUAUGAUGCUAUGAAGAAUAUGUUUUGCAUCCUUAUAUGAGCUAUUUGUAGCAAUUUAAGAAUAAAACCGCUGAGGCUAAGCGUACAUCUCUCACACAUACAAAAUAUGUGUCCAUGCAUAUGUGUGUCUGUGUGUAAAAUCUUUGCAUAAUGUGUGUGUAUAUGUGUGCAUAUGUAUUAUGUUCAAUAUUUACAUAUGUGUAUAUAUAAAAUACAGAAGCUCUUCAUAUUUACAUGAGUUAUAGGAAUCAAAUUACCCAAAGGGUACAUAUAUAAUAUAUAUUUCUUUCCAUACAUAUAUAUAUAUAUACACUAUGUGUAUAGUAUAUAUGUUUCCAUAUAUUUACAUAUGAGUAUCUUUGCAUACUUAUAUGAGUUACAGGAGUGGAAUUACUAAGUUAAAGAGUAAAUAUAUGCACACACAAUUUUGAUAAAUACAUAAAGUUGUCUUCCUAAAUAACUGCACCAAGUCAUAUAGUGUGUAAGGGUUAUUGUUUCCUGGCAACUUUGCCAAUGUUAUCACUUUUAUUUUUGCCACACGUAAAGGUUAUAAGUAAUUGUUUUUGUUACAUUUCUUUACUGAGUAAAGAAUAUAUAUCUCUACAUAUUUAUAAAAAUUUCUAUAUAUUUUAUAUAUAAAGAAAAUGUAUUUUCAACUUUUUCUGACUAUAUGACAAUUUGUAUAUGCUCUACUAUGAAAUGCCCAUUAUAUUCUUGGCUCGUUUUUCUACUAGGUUAUCUUUUUACUCAUUUAUGUAUUUACUUAAAUAUUCCAGAAGAUAAUCUCUUGUCAUAUAUGUUCAAAUAAUAGUUUUUAAAUCUUGCUUAUGGUGUCUUUUGUCUUAUCAGUUUUCGAUUUGAGCAUUUGCCAUAUCAGGGAACUUUCUCCUGGAAUUUUGAUAAUCAAGAGUUAUUUGAAGGAAAAACCUUGGUGUCCUGGGACAUCAUGGGGCGGCGGGGAGAACGCAAAAUACAAGUUAUGUUAAGUAAGAUGCCUUCUUCUGUCUCUGCCUAUGAAAUGAAUUUGCUGAUCCAAAAUAGAAAAUCAUUUUCUUCUAUUCAAAACUUAGAUCUGCAGACUCAGUUUUUUAGGCCAAAGAGAGCAAAGCUCCAACAUUCAGUGAUUCUGUCUGGACAAAUGACCCACCAACAGCUCACUCCCUACUGACUCCCUCUUUCAGCACAACAGAAAGACCACAAGGCUUGUCCCAAGACCUUCGUGAUGACUUCAGCCCUGGUACACACUGGCCAUAAAGUAUCAAAGAUUUGAGCCCCUCUCAGCCUCAAAUUUCUCACUUAUGAAAUAAGGGUA